UGUGAAGGCAGAGCAGCCUCCAGCUGCUGAGGGUGUGGACGACGUGAAGGUGAAGGCGGUGAACGAAAUGAUGGAGAGGAUCAAACAUGGUGUCGUCCUGCGGCCAGUCAAGAGUCAGGAGAGCAAGCCGCCUCCGGUCUGUGAGGAGAAACCGCAGGAGAGCGCCAUGGAAGAACUGAAAGGCCUCCUGG